CAAGGAACUAGAUUUAAGCUUUGGAGGGAUCGGAAAUUAAGGGACUGUAAGGAGGAUGUGAUUCAUACUAUUCUCCCUCUCCCCCUCCCACACACGACCGUAAGUCUCCCCGCUCGGCCUUCGGGGACGCGGCCCUGAUCUCUCCGCGGCCUGUGUCCCUGUCGCUUGCUCCUGUCGCUCCGGACCACUGUGUCUGGGGCGCCCUCCGCCUGGCUUCUCCUAGCCCCCGGGAGGAGGCGCUGGUGCCCGGGUCGGCCUCCGGUCCCUCCCAGCCGGCGUCCUGGAGCCCCCAUUCACAAAGCUCGGCUUGGAGGAGGCGACACACACACACACACACACACACACACACACACAGCUCGGCUUGGAGGAGGCGACACACACACACACACACACACACACACACACACACACACACACACACAGCGAAGAGGGGAGUUUGAUCUUGUCUCAUUGGCGUCUCGGGCCUGAAAAGGAAAAUCGUUUGGGUAAACAGCCAAGCUUCCAGGCUUAACGCCCGGCUCCCGCCCCCGCCCCUCCGCCCCCUCCCGCCUCCCCCACUCCCCUUCAACCCCACCCGCCACCCACACUCCGCUCCGCAGCCGGGCCCCGAGCGAGCUCCGCGCGCCCGGGCGGGAGCCGAGGGCUCCCCGGGUUCAAAGGGCCGCAGCCCCGAGGGAAUGCCCUCCUCGCUGUGCCCCGGGGGGCAGAAGCGGACUGCAGGGCGGUGGGACCGGCCUGGGCCACGAUGGUGUUCAAUGACAAAAGCCAAAUUAUUUGCAGAACUCCAGGACAUGCAUCUUUCUGCUGAGAAAACCAGUCAUUAUCAAAACCAACAGAAUUUGAAACAGUAUCUACAAUGUAAGCUCCAGGCGGAGAAUCCUGGAGGUGAGAUGUGGCUUAUGGGUCACUGGCUUCUUCCAUCUGGACUGGCUGAUGGCCACAGCUACCUUCUAUCGUUCGCAUUUUCCGGAAGUACUUCUCCAACUUUGGUGUGCAUGAGAAUCACCUGGAGAGCUGUUAGAUCACAAACUUCUGGGUUCCACAAGUUCAGUACAUUUGGUUGGUUGACAAAGAGGGAGAGCUUUGUGGUAGAUGAUUCCAGAGGAAGAAGAAAGAAAAUGAACCAUGGGAGAGAAACAAGGAUCAUGGCGUGCGAAUUUGCAAAAAUAGACGAGGUUGGGGCUGCAGUCCUGGAUUAUGGAACCAGGUGAAAUGGAAAUUUGGACAGCCAUCACCAAAAGUCUGACCUCAGCAGUAACACUAACUUCUCCACUGAAAAAUGAACUCUAGAGUCAACAGCACUCUGCCCUUUUCUUUGGGAGUCAAAGUCCUUUCUCCAAGGACAAUCCAAUGUUUGGAACACCAAAAGGCACAGAUUCUGUGUGACUUUCCCACUUUUUGGGAUGACUGUCAGUUUUCUUGGUGACAAAUGUAUUUGUGGGGUGGUUUAGGGAUUCUACAAUUUCAGAGUGGGAAGAGCUUUUGGAGAAUGUCCAAUCUCGCUGCCUUUCAAAUGCUGAGGUAAUAUGCACAACAUGAAUGCCAAGACAUUUUAUGGGCGGAGAUGAAAGGUUUCCAGUGUCAAUACAUUUCUGUGUACAGUCCAGUAGACAUUGUCUCUGAGGACCACCAACUCCCCUUUCCAGGUUCCCUUUCCCUCUCUGACACACUAAGCAACGCGCUCUUGUUCUUUGGCUCUGCUGAGUCAUCUAAGUAAAAGAUAAGAGUAUCCACUGUUACCAUUUUGGAGAUUUUAUACAUUUUAAUUAGGGCUUUCAUAUCCCAGAGCGUUCAUUUUCUCAUCUGUCAAAUGGAGCUAAUAUCGCCUACAAUGAAGAGCUGUUGAAACAAUUGGAAUAAAUAAAAAAUGUCCACCACUGCAAUGCCUUGCAGCUACCACUAUUUUUUUUUUUUUUUGAGAGAGGGAGAGAGAGAGAGCACACGCAGGUAGGGGGAGGAGCAGAGGGAGACGGAGGGAGAGAGAGAGAAUAUCAAGCAGACUCUCUGCUGAGUGCAGAGCCAGACAUGGGGCUCAAUCCCACAACCCAUGAGAUCAUAACCUGUGCCCAAACCAAGAGUCAAAUCCUUCACCAACUGAACCACCCAGCCACCCCAACUACCACUAUUGUUAAGGAAGAAAAUUUGUGGCAGAAAUUAUACCUGUUCUCUCUCCUGAACCUGGGCUUCUGCCUGCUUGGGAGGCUAUCUGGGAUUGCAAAGAGAGAAUGAUCAACGAAGAUUGUGAUGCAUGGAUUGAUAGAAGCC
rnacentral:lncRNA from 1 species